rnacentral:rRNA from 1 species
AGUAACGCGUAGAUAAUCUACCCUUGUGUACGGGACAACAUCGGGAAACUGGUGCUAAUACCGGAUACGUUUCAGAGAUCGCGAGAUUUUUGAAGGAAAGAUGGGGACCCUUCGGGGCCUAUCGCACGAGGAUGAGUCUGCGUACCAUUAGCUAGUAGGUGGGGUAAAGGCCCACCUAGGCGACGAUGGUUAGCGGGUCUGAGAGGAUGAUCCGCCACACUGGCACUGGAACACGGGCCAG